rnacentral:rRNA from 1 species
AUUGAACGCUGGCGGCAUGCCUUACACAUGCAAGUCGAACGGCAGCACGGGUGCUUGCACCUGGUGGCGAGUGGCGAACGGGUGAGUAAUACAUCGGAACAUGUCCUGUAGUGGGGGAUAGCCCGGCGAAAGCCGGAUUAAUACCGCAUACGAUCUACGGAUGAAAGCGGGGGACCUUCGGGCCUCGCGCUAUAGGGUUGGCCGAUGGCUGAUUAGCUAGUUGGUGGGGUAAAGGCCUACCAAGGCGACGAUCAGUAGCUGGUCUGAGAGGACGACCAGCCACACUGGAACUGAGACACGGCCCAGACUCCUACGGGAGGCAGCAGUGGGGAAUUUUGGACAAUGGGCGAAAGCCUGAUCCAGCAAUGCCGCGUGUGUGAAGAAGGCCUUCGGGUUGUAAAGCACUUUUGUCCGGAAAGAAAGCCUUGGCCCUAAUACGGUCGGGGGAUGACGGUACCGGAAGAAUAAGCACCGGCUAACUACGUG